rnacentral:piRNA from 1 species
AGGCUUACAAAAGGGAAUAGUUUCAGGAG